UACGAAGGGGGCUAGCGUUGUUCGGAAUUACUGGGCGUAAAGGGCGCGUAGGCGGCGUGUCAAGUCAGGCGUGAAAGCCCCGGGCUCAACCUGGGAACCGCGCUUGAGACUGGCAUGCUCGAGUUCGGGAGAGGAUGGUGGAAUUCCCAGUGUAGAGGUGCAAUUCGUAGAUAUUGGGAAGAACACCGAUGGCGAAGGCAGCCAUCUGGACCGACACUGACGCUGAGGCGCGAAAGCGUGGGGAGCAAACAGG
rnacentral:rRNA from 1 species